rnacentral:rRNA from 1 species
CUGGUAAGGGCGUAUGGUGGAUGCCUUGGUAGACAGGACCGAUGAAGGACGUGACGGGCUGCGAUAUGCCUCGGGGAGCUGCCGAGUGGGCUUUGAUCCGAGGAUUUCCGAAUGGGGAGACCCGGCCACUGUUAUGGGUGGUCACCACAGUUUUUGUGGGGGGUACGCAGGGAAGUGAAACAUCUCAGUACCUGCAGGAAAGGAUACUCCGUGAGUAGUGGCGAGCGAAAGCGGAUCAGGCUAAACCGAGUACGUGUGAUAACCGUCAGGUGUUGCGUAUUCGGGGUCGUGGGAUUGACUGUUCAGCCUCUGACGGGGUUGAGAAGAGUGAUAAAAUGUCGUGUUAUGUGAAUGGGAUUGAAUUCCCAGCCGUAGAGGGUGAUGGCCCCGUAGCAGGUUGCGCGAUGUCUUUUUAUGUUUAUUCCCAAGUAGCGCGGGCCUCGUGGAAUCCCGCGUGAAUCUGCCCAGACCGUUGGGUAAGCCUAAGUAUUCCUGUCUGACCGAUAGUGUACUAGUACCGUGAGGGAAAGGUGAAAAGCACCCCGGGAGGGGAGUGAAAUAGUUCCUGAAACCGUGCGCUUACAAUCCGUCGGAGCCUUCUUUGUGGGGUGACGGCGUGCCUAUCGAAAAAUGAGUCUGCGAGUCAGUGGUAUGUGGCGAGGCUAACCCGGGUGGGGGAGCCGUAGCGAAAGCGAGUUUUAAAAGGCGUUUUAGUCGCAUGUCCUGGACCCGAAGCGGGAUGAUCUAGCCCUGAGCAGGUUGAAGCGCGGGUAAGACCGUGUGGAGGACCGAACCCACCUAGGUUGAAAACUGGGGGGAUGACUUGGGGUUAGGGGUGAAAGGCCAAUCAAAUUCCGUGAUAGCUGGUUCUCUCCGAAAUGCAUUUAGGUGCAGCGUCAUGUUAUUGCUUGCAGGGGGUAGAGCUACUGGAUGCUUGCGGGCCCAUACCGGGUACUAAUAGCAGCCAAACUCCGAAUACCUGUUAGGUUUAUCAUGGCAGUGAGUCGGCGGGGGAUAAGCUCCGUCGUCAAAAGGGAAACAGCCCUGAUCGUCGUCUAAGGUCCCGAAGCGCGUGCUAAGUGGGAAAGGAUGUGGAGUCGCAUAGACAGCCAGGAGGUUGGCUCAGAAGCAGCCAUCCUUGAAAGAGUGCGUAACAGCUCACUGGUCUAGUGGUUCCGCGCCGACAAUGUAGCGGGGCUUAAGCACGCCACCGAAGACGCGACUGCAUGAUUUAGUUCAUGUGGGGUAGGAGAGCGUCCUGUAUGGGGUGAAGCGGCAGUGUGAACUUGUCGUGGACUAUACGGGAGUGAGAAUGCAGACAUGAGUAGCGAGAGACAGGUGUGAAUCCUGUCCGCUGAAUGACUAAGGGUUCCGGGGCCACGUUCGUCGUCCCCGGGUGAGUCGAGUCCUAAGGCGAGGCCGACAGGCGUAGUCGAAUGGAUGAACGGGUUGAUAUUCCCGUACCGGUGUUACACCGUUCGAACUGAAUCUGAGAGUACUAACCUU